rnacentral:rRNA from 1 species
CUUAUUUCUAGAGAUAGAAAGUUACUUCGGUACAUCGGUGACAGGUGGUGCAUGGUUGUCGUCAGCUCGUGUCGUGAGAUGUUGGGUUAAGUCCCGCAACGAGCGCAACCCCUAUUGUUAGUUGCCAUCAUUCAGUUGGGCACUCUAGCGAGACUGCCGGUAAUAAACCGGAGGAAGGUGGGAUGACGUCAAAUCAUCAUGCCCCUUAUGACCUGGGCUACACACGUGCUACAAUGGUUGGUACAACGAGUUGCGAGUCGGUGACGGCGAGCUAAUCUCUUAAAGCCAAUCUCAGUUCGGAUUGUAGGCUGCAACUCGCCUACAUGAAGUCGGAAUCGCUAGUAAUCGCGGAUCAGCACGCCGCGGUGAAUACGUUCCCGGGCCUU